rnacentral:tRNA from 1 species
GGCCAGUUAGCUCAGUUGGUUAGUGCAUGGUGCUAAUAACACCAAGGUUGCGGCUUCGAUCCCCGUUUAGUCCC